rnacentral:misc_RNA from 1 species
GUCUCAGGCAAUUUGAGUUGGAGGUUUUGGCCAAGGAGAGAGAAGCUACUGGACUGAGGGCAAGCUUGAGUACCUUGAUGUCUGAAAUCCAACGGUUGAAUAAGUUGUGUGCAGAGAGGAAAGAGGCUGAAGAUUCUUUGAGAAAGAAGUGGAAGAAAAUUGAAGAGUUCGAUGCACGCAGAUCUGAACUUGAAGCCAUAUAUACUGCAUUACUGAGGGCUAACAUGGAUGCUGCUGCAUAUUGGAAUCAGCAGCCAUUGGCUGCAAGGGGAUAUGCAUUAAGUACUAUCAUUCCAGCAUGUACAGUUGUUGCAGAUAUUGCAAACAAUGCAAAAGAUCUUAUUGAGAAAGAAGUUGAUGCCUUCUCUCGGAGUCCUGAUAAUAGCCUGUACAUGCUUCCUUCAACCCCUCAGGCGCUUUUGGAGUCCAUGGGUUCUACUGGAUCUACAGGACCUGAAGCUCUUGCUGCUGCUGAAAAAAAUGCUGCUUUAUUGACAGCAAGAGCUGGUGCUAGGGAUCCAUCAGCAAUUCCAUCCAUAAGAUCUUNNUUCAGUAUCCUGCCGGUUUGGAGGGUUUUGACGCUGGUUUGGCAUCAGUGCUGGAGUCGCC